AGCAGCCGCGGUAAUUCCAGCUCCAAUAGCGUAUAUUAAAGUUGUUGCAGUUAAAAAGCUCGUAGUUGAAUUUCGGGAUCAAGGAAUCGGUCAUGCCUUGGUAUGUACUGGUUUUAUUGGUUCUCACCUUCUAAAGAACCAUAAUGUCAUUCAUUUGAUGUUAUGGGGAAUUAGGACUGUUACCUUGAAAAAAUUAGAGUGUUUAAAGCAGGCUUACGCUUGAAUACAUUAGCAUGGAAUAAUGAAAUAGGACAUCCGAUUCUAUUUUGUUGGUUUCUAGGAUCGAUGUAAUGAUUAAUAGGGAUAGUUGGGGGCAUUAGUAUUCAAUUGUCAGAGGUGAAAUUCUUGGAUUUAUUGAAGACUAACUACUGCGAAAGCAUUUGCCAAGGAUGUUUUCAUUAAUCAAGAACGAAAGUUAGGGGAUCGAAGACGAUCAGAUACCGUCGUAGUCUUAACCAUAAACUAUGCCGACUAGGGAUCGGAUGAUGUUAAU
rnacentral:rRNA from 1 species